rnacentral:rRNA from 1 species
UGGGGAAUUUUGGACAAUGGGGGAAACCCUGAUCCAGCCAUGCCGCGUGCGGGAAGAAGGCCUUCGGGUUGUAAACCGCUUUUGGCAGGAACGAAACGGCGUGCGCCAAUACCGCGCGCUAAUGACGGUACCUGCAGAAUAAGCACCGGCUAACUACGUGCCAGCAGCCGCGGUAAAACGUAGGUGGCGAGCGUUAUCCGGAUUCGCUGGGCGUAAAGCGCGUGCAGGUGGUUCGGUAAGUUGGACGUGAAAUCUCCUGGCUUAACUAGGAGAGGUCGUUCAAUACUACCGGACUUGAGAGUGGUAGAGGAAGAUGGAAUUCCCGGUGUAGUGGUGAAAUGCGUAGAUAUCGGGAGGAACACCAGUGGCGAAAGCGAUCUUCUGGACCAUUUCUGACACUCAGACGCGAAAGCUAGGGUAGUAAACGGGAUUAGAGACCCCGGUAAUCCUAGCUGUAAACGAUGUAAACUUGGCGUCGGUGGCUUAAACUCCAUCGGUGCCGCAGCUAACGCGAUAAGUUUACCGCCUGGGGACUACGAUCGCAAGAUUA